GGAGCCCAUCAGGGUCCCCAGAUUUACAAAUUUCUGACUUCCAUUUUGGGAGUCAGCCAGAGGGGAGAUUUUCUCUGAGGAGGGCAGCUUCAGUUAAACAGAGGGAGUAGCCCCAGGGCUGGCCACUCAACAAGAAGAGAGCUCUGUCGAAGGACAGUGACCUCCGAACACGGGGGGAGGCACAGGCUGCACCCUGCCACUCCCUGCUGUCAGCCCUGGAAAAAGGUGGGGUGUGAGUGUCAAGGACUGGGGAGGUGGGAGGGAAGAGGUCAGCAGAGCUUAGGGAGUGAGCAGAAAGGUUUGGAGCACAUCCUGGAGGUGGGAAGGAAGGGAUGGAAAGAAGGCUGACAAGCGGGCGGGGGAGGGGGGGCGCCUUCCUCCUCUGAGAGGAGGCCCCGCCCCACGCUAUCCGGGCUGUCAGCCCUGAUCAACCCUGACAGAGUUCCCGGAUGUGCUUUGCCGGAUGUGCUUUGCCGGAUGUGCUUUGCCGGAUGUGCUUUGCCGGAUGUGCUUUCCCGGCGGCCAUCUUGGGAGUCUGAAGGACCUGAGGCAUUUUGUGACGAGGAUCGUCUCGGGUCAGCGGAGGGAAGAGACUUAGACCUAUCCAGUCUUCAAGGUGCUCCAGGAAGCAGGAGUUGAAGACCUGGGUGUGAGGGACACAUACAUCCUAAAAGCACCACAGCAGAGGAGGCCCAGGCAGUGCCAGGAGUCAAGGUGAGUGCACGACCUGUGUACCAAGGGCCCUACCCCCAGAAACAGGGCAGAGCUGGCAGCACCUGGCCUGUAGCCACCCACUGUCAUUCCUGGUGCCUCAGGCUCUGCCUGCCAGCUGUGCCCCGAGGUGCUUUCUCAUGUCCUUCUACAGGUUCCCAGGAGACAAACCCCCUAGGAAGACAGGCGACCUGUGAGGCCCUAGAGCACCACCUUAAGAGAAGAAGAGCUGUAAGCCGGCCUUCGUCAGAGCCAUCAUGGGGGACAAGGAUAUGCCUACUGCUGGGAUGCCGAGUCUUCUCCAGAGUUCCUCUGAGAGUCCUCAGAGUUGUCCUGAGGGGGAGGACUCCCAGUCUCCUCUCCAGAUUCCCCAGAGUUCUCCUGAAAGCGACGACACCAUGUAUCCUCUCCAGAGUUCUCAGAGUCGUUCUGAGGGGGAGGACUCCUCGGAUCCUCUCCAGAGACUUCCUGAGGGGAAGGAUUCCCAAUCUCCUCUCCAGAUUCCCCAGAGUUCUCCUGAGAGCGACGACACCCUGUAUCCUCUCCAGAGUCCUCAGAGUCGUUCUGAGGGGGAGGACUCCUCGGAUCCUCUCCAGAGACCUCCUGAGGGGAAGGAUUCCCAAUCUCCUCUCCAGAUUCCCCAGAGUUCUCCUGAGAGCGACGGCACCCUGUAUCCUCUCCAGAGUCCUCAGAGUCGUUCUGAGGGGGAGGACUCCUCGG
rnacentral:lncRNA from 1 species